UACGUAGGGGGCAAGCGUUGUCCGGAUUUAUUGGGCGUAAAGAGCGUGUAGGCGGCCAGGUAGGUCUGCUGUGAAAACUCGAGGCUUAACCUCGAGCUGUCGGCGGAAACCAUCUGGCUAGAGUCCGGGAGAGGAGAGUGGAAUUCCUGGUGUAGCGGUGAAAUGCGCAGAUAUCAGGAAGAACACCCGUGGCGAAAGCGGCUCUCUGGAACGGUACUGACGCUGAGACGCGAAAGCGUGGUGAGCGAACAGG
rnacentral:rRNA from 1 species